rnacentral:rRNA from 1 species
GAUGAACGCUAGCGACAGGCCUAACACAUGCAAGUCGAGGGGCAUCAUGGCGUAGCAAUACGCUGAUGGCGACCGGCGCACGGGUGCGUAACGCGUAUGGAACCUACCCACCGCAGGGGGAUAACCCGCCGAAAGGCGGACUAAUACCCCAUGGUUCCCCGACCCUGCCUGGGGUUGGGGGUAAAGCCUACGGGCGGCGGUGGAUGGCCCUGCGUGCCAUUAGCUGGCUGGUGGGGUAACGGCCUACCAAGGCGACGAUCGGUAGCCGGCCUGAGAGGGUGAUCGGCCACAUUGGGACUGAGAUACGGCCCAGACUCCUACGGGAGGCAGCAGUAGGGAAUAUUGCGCAAUGGGGGGAACCCUGACGCAGCAACGCCACGUGUGGGAAGAAGCAUUUCGGUGUGUAAACCACUGUCGGAAAGGAAUAACGGAAGACUUCGGUCUUUAUGAAUGUACUUUUAGAGGAAGCACCGGCAAACUUCGUG